CCCUUAGAUGUUCUGGGCUGCACGCGCGCUACACUGAUGCGUUCAACGAGUUUAUGACCUUGCCCGAUAGGGUUGGGUAAUCUUUUUAAAUCGCAUCGUGAUGGGGAUAGAUUAUUGCAAUUAUUAAUCUUCAACGAGGAAUUCCUAGUAAGCGCGAGUCAUCAGCUCGUGCUGAUUACGUCCCUGCCCUUUGUACACGCCGCCCGUCGCUCCUACCGCUUGAGUGAUCCGGUGAAUAAUUCGGACUGCAGCAGUGUUCAGUUCCUGAACGUUGCAGCGGAAAGUUUAGUGAACCUUAUCACUUAGAGGAAGGAGAAGUCGUANCA
rnacentral:rRNA from 1 species